CCCGAGUGCCCCCGGGCCGCCUUUCUAAAUAUAAGUCUAAUAAAAAUAAACGGCAGGGACCGGAGGGGCAGGGCCACGUGACCGCUCCCGAGCCGCUCG
rfam:Myotis lucifugus cont2.40219, whole genome shotgun sequence.